UUAGAGUCAGUCUCUGCCAGCUGUGUGGCGCCUGUUUGUAUCAGGCGUCCCUGACUUCUCAGAGAGAUUGUCCACACCACGUGACACCCUGAGGAAGCGCCUACCAGGGAAUUUAGUUCACUGUUAACUACCUCUACGGGCGGGCCGGUACCAUUCUCUGUGGAAGAACCUUCCCUCCCCUGGCGCCGGUCAUCCUCACUUGAUAGGGUCUCACAAUGUAGAUAGGCUGGCCUCAAACUCAGCAAUCCUCUCAAGGGCUGGAAUCAAGCCUGUCUGAGCAAACCACAGUCUUGCAAAUACUCUCUGACUGCCUCAUUUCAACAACAGAGCUAUGUUUGGGGGAAAUUUCCUGAAAUUGAAUGGCUUCACCAGUUACCAGGGCCUGGCAGGCUCCUGUGGAGGAUGAAGGGUACGCCCCUCACCAGUCAGGGCUCUCUCUGCCCUCAACUUUGCACUCCAGACCCGCAUCAUCAUCAUUUCCGCUCGCCACCCUCUGUCUCAUCCUUACACUGAAGAUGCUCCCCCACCGUAGCAAUGCGGGGGGGGGGGGCUGGGGCUCCCCUCUUGGGUUUCUUAGUCUCAUUAGUAAGAGAAUUUAAGAGUGAACUCAAGUGGGAUCUGUAGGACAAUUUAUUAACAUUUAAAAGAAGAAAAGCCUCUGGGGAGGGUACAUUGUAAACCUCAGCUGAUGACCUGAGGGUUAGAAGAGGAAAAAAAGAGUGGUGCCAUCUGAGUCUGCACGGAGGCCAGACACACGACAGACAAGCGGCCACAUGGUGGAGAGAGAGGAAUCACCCCAGAGGAUCCACAAACGCGCAUCCCAAAGAUAAAGGCAGAGAAUAAAGACCCAGUUGAAACUCUUGGCAAACUCAUGGGUCUGUGUGUGGGAGGUGAAAUUCUGGGAAGAAAAAGCACAGUAUCUCAUUAAAGGGAACGUUAUUCCUCUUA